CCAUCUGAUGCGAAUUUAUGGUUUGUAGGGCUUGACUCCCCAGGCCCCUUAGGUAGGAAUUUGGGUAAGAUAAAUAAAUGUUUUAAAUGAGUCUUU